rfam:Sphaerobolus stellatus SS14 unplaced genomic scaffold SPHSTscaffold_1, whole genome shotgun sequence.
UGCCCCAUGGCUUAGUUGGCUAUAGCGUCCGACUGUUAUUGUCGCCCUUAAAAGUGAAGUAGCGAAUCGGAAGGUCGAGAGUUCGAGCCUCUCUGGGGCAG